rnacentral:lncRNA from 1 species
GCGUGGCUCUCCCGGGCCACCCCACGCCCGUGACGCGGACACGGAGGCUCUUCCCACGCCCGUUUUGGCGGAAAUCGAGGCAUUUUCCGCCCUGGGACGGACUCAUCCCCUUCACCUGGGAGCUUCAGCCGCAGGUGGAGCUGAAUACAGUGGUUAACUACAAGCAAUAUGUUCUGAAGAUGAUGGUGUUCAGACAAAUACCCAAUUUGAUUCUGAUAAAUUGGAUGCAAGACUUUGACCAGAAUGAGAAGAACAGAGAGAACAACAUGGAACUAUUAUGAAUCCAGUCAGAUCCCACAUAGGGUUGACAGCAGAGAAAAGCAAAGCCUACGUUGAAUCCAUAACUUCUGCUUAUGGAAUAAUAUAUAUUUUGGGAUGAUAACAGAGGCCAUGUGUAGUGAAGUAUCUCCUCAUCCCAAGGCAUUGUGGAAGCAGACAGCAUCCCAGACCUGUGGAGGAGCUCAGCAGGGGGAGAAAAUAUUCCCAAUGUCGUGUUGCUGCUGGUGGCUCAGGCAGUUUGAACAGAGGUCUGUGGUGGUCCAGCUUGUUGGAAACUUUUGUGCUCAAACCAGGAGGAUGCUACAGCUGGAGCUAAUACAUGAAUUUCAAAUCUGUGCCUCCGCCAGUUUUGACACUGUGCAAUGAAGCAUCCGAGCUCUCAGAUGUCUGGCUCUUCCGAGUUGUGAAAUGAGAAAACAAACAAACCCAGCCAUUCCAGCCCUGUCAAUCUACUUCUCAGUGGACAGAUGCCCUGGUGCCAGAAAAGCUUCAGCCCAUGAUCCCACACCUCUUGGCAGUGCCAAAAAAAAGCCGGAGAUCUACUGGACGCAAAAGUGCGGCGGUUCCUCACCUCGAAGAAAUGGUGUUUGUGGCCACGCUGGAGCUCCUGGGUGAGGCUGUGUGGGGAAAUGUGUGCAGGCUCUUCUUCCUGCACGAGUGAGUGAUUCCUGGUCUCCUAGAUAAUCCACCUGAUCUGCUCCUGGAGCAAGGUGCCUCCGGACAGGGAUGGAUUAAUGGGUGACAGUCCAGGUUUGUGCACUGAGGUUUCUGGAAUGAGCCAGGUACAUCGGUAGAUUUUGUGGAUUGCAUUGUUAAUUAAUUAAAUGGCACCAUUAAUUAUGGUUUUAAAUAUUUUAUUGGGCACUUAUCUGGUGGGAAUUGGCUAAAGUUUCUGAGAAAAUGGCAGAGCUUGGGUUUUAACACAGACAACUCUCUGUGCCAUCUAUGGCCAUGUCCCUUUGAAGGCCAUCACUGGAGGUCCCAGCCCAGGUGUCCUGUUGGGCACAGGAUUUUUUGGAGGGGGAUGAGGCUUCAGUCUGGUCCCUCCACACACUCCUGGGGACAUCUUGGUGGGCACAGUUCCAACAAAGCCCAGCCUAGUGCAGCUGAACCCCCCAAGAUGCACAAAAGCACCCUGGAAGUCUUGAAAGGUGGGUUUAAAACCCUGCAGAUCCCGCCGCAUUUAUUGUACUGGCCCUGACAGAGCCAAUGACCUGCUUUGGCACAGACAAGGUUUUCCUUUUGGCUAACGAUUUGCGUUUAGUGUCACACGGGGCAUCCCAAGAAGCUGCAGCAUUCAGGCCUUUUUAAUGAAUUCCUAUCCCUUGCAUAUUAGUGGGAAUAUUUCCACUGCAGCAAACACCAUAAACAGUUUCCACACUGGGGUGUGUUAUACUGCCACCAGAAUUGGUUCUUCUGAUGGUUCAUUUCUUUUAUGCUGAGAAUUCAGGACCAAUUCAGCUCGGUUUUAUGCAUCAUUAGAGAUUUACAAUUACUUUGCUAUAGUUUCUUUCUGGAAGCCUAUCUCUCAUGGUUAAUGCUAUGGGAGUCCUGUUGUGUAGAGGCUGCUAUGAGCCACCUUAUAGCAAUAAAGCAUUUGAGAAGGAUUUGGAAUUAUGAGUGGCUAAAUUCUCUGUGCAGUGCCUGUAAUGCUGUUAUCCCUUGCUGAGCUUGGGUUGAAACUCUUUUUUUUUUCUUCUCCCCAAAUUAGAAGAAAAAAAUGCCGUUUCUUUGAGACAUUUUGAAUCAUUUAAAUGCAAUUUUUUUUUGUUGAACCGCUGCAGUCGGAAAUGAGGAAUUGUACGAAUUUCCAUUUGGAUUUCAUGAUCCUUAAAAUACAUUCAGGUUGUAUUAGUAUAAAAUGAAAAAAAGGCCUCUUCUUUUUCUUUUUUUUUAAAUCUCACUUUUAAAAAGUCUAAUCAUUAUUUGGGAUUUUAUUUUGGCUUUUGUAUUUUAUGUGUGUUGCUAAAGCCAAUAAAUUUCACAAUCUCUGCCCUUGCACAAUAAGCAGUGGAUCUGCAUGUGUUAUAAUCCACAUAACUCACGUUUUACGUAAAUACACUAUUGCACUGAAACAAACAUGAUAUGUAGUGAAUAAUAUGGGCCUGAUCUAAAGGCCAUUAAAAUCAAUGAAAAGAUUUCAAAUUAACAUUUAUAGCUUUUAGAUCAGGCUCUAAAUGGGAAAAUUACAGUUAUGGAGUUUCCCAUUUACAUACCUGUGUGCUGCACUUAAUGUAUUUUAUGGAAUUGAAAUUACUUGGUCCUCUUUUUCAUGCUUUUUUAGGCUAAGAAUUUGCCAAGGGCAUCAACAGCAGUUUUCCCAGGCUCCAGCACAAGGAUUUAGUCAAUCCACUGAUGACUCAAAUCUUUGAAGAAAAGGACAUGGUUAUCAGAGAAGCGCUUUGACGACAGCAAGGACGGGAGUGCUAUCUGCCUUUUUCCAUCAGAGAUUCCCAUUCCCUCUCAUUAACAUACUCAGGACAUCAGCACAGCCAUCGGGCCCGAGGGAAUCG